rnacentral:rRNA from 1 species
CCUACGGGAGGCAGCAGUGAGGAAUAUUGGUCAAUGGUCGGGAGACUGAACCAGCCAAGCCGCGUGAGGGAUGAAGGUACAGAGUAUCGUAAACCUCUUUUGUCAGGGAACAAAGGCGGGGACGCGUCCCCGGAUGAGUGUACCUGAAGAAAAAGCAUCGGCUAACUCCGUGCCAGCAGCCGCGGUAAUACGGAGGAUGCGAGCGUUAUCCGGAUUUAUGGGGUUUAAAGGGGGCGCAGGCGGUCUGUUAAGUCAGCGGUCAAAGCCCGGGGCUCAACCCCGGCACGCCGUUGAAACUGGCAGUCUCGAGUUGGAGAGAAGUAGGCGGAAUGCGCGGUGUAGCGGUGAAAUGCAUAGAUAUCGCGCAGAACUCCGAUUGCGAAGGCAGCAUGCCGGCUCCACACUGACGCUGAGGCACGAAAGCGUGGGUAUCGAACAGGAUUAGAUACCCCUGUAGUC